rnacentral:rRNA from 1 species
AUUGAACGCUGGCGGAAUGCUUUACACAUGCAAGUCGAACGGCAGCACGGGGGCAACCCUGGUGGCGAGUGGCGAACGGGUGAGUAAUACAUCGGAACGUGCCCAGUCGUGGGGGAUAACGUAGCGAAAGCUACGCUAAUACCGCAUACGAACUGAGGUUGAAAGCGGGGGAUCGCAAGACCUCGCGCGAUUGGAGCGGCCGAUGGCAGAUUAGGUAGUUGGUGGGGUAAAGGCUCACCAAGCCGACGAUCUGUAGCUGGUCUGAGAGGACGACCAGCCACACUGGGACUGAGACACGGUCCAGACUCCUACGGGAGGCAGCAGUGGGGAAUUUUGGACAAUGGGCGCAAGCCUGAUCCAGCCAUUCCGCGUGCAGGAUGAAGGCCCUCGGGUUGUAAACUGCUUUUGUACGGAACGAAAAGGCUUUCUCUAAUACAGAGAGCUCAUGACGGUACCGUAAGAAUAAGCACCGGCUAACUACGUGCCAGCCGCCGCAGUAAGAC